rnacentral:rRNA from 1 species
UCCAGACUCCUACGGGAGGCAGCAGUGAGGAAUAUUGGUCAAUGGGCUUACGCCUGAACCAGCCAAGUCGCGUGAGGGAAGACUGCCCUAUGGGUUGUAAACCUCUUUUGUCAGGGAGCAACGCCGGCUACGUGUAGCCGGACUGAGAGUACCUGAAGAAAAAGCAUCGGCUAACUCCGUGCCAGCAGCCGCGGUAAUACGGAGGAUGCGAGCGUUAUCCGGAUUUAUUGGGUUUAAAGGGUGCGUAGGCGGAAUGCCAAGUCAGCGGUAAAAUGGGGGGACUCAACCUCGCUCCGCCGUUGAAACUGGCGUUCUUGAGUGGGCGAGAAGUAUGCGGAAUGCGUGGUGUAGCGGUGAAAUGCAUAGAUAUCACGCAGAACCCCGAUUGCGAAGGCAGCGUGCCGUGCCGCCACUGACGCUGAGGCACGAAAGCGCGGGGAUCGAACAGGAUUAGAUACCCGCGUA